rnacentral:rRNA from 1 species
UUUAGGGGCGGAAUUGGAAUUUUUAGCGGGCCGCGAAAUUCGCCCCUUCCCCGCUUGAACGUAAGCUUAUCAAUAAAGCGGAGGGAAAAGAAACUAACAAGGAUUCCCCUAGUAACUGCGAGUGAAGCGGGAAAAGCUCAAAUUUAAAAUCUGGCGGUCCCUGUGGCCGUCCGAGUUGUAAUUUAGAGAAGUGUUAUCCGCGUUGGACCGUGUACUAUUCUCCUGGAAUGGAGCGUCAUAGAGGGUGAGAAUCCCGUCUUUGACACGGACCGCCAAGGCAUUGUGAUACGCUCUCAAAGAGUCGAGUUGUUUGGGAAUGCAGCUCAAAAUGGGUGGUAAAUUCCAUCUAAAGCUAAAUAUUGGGGAGAGACCGAUAGCGAACAAGUCGCGUGAGGGAAAGAUGAAAAGUACUUUGGAAAGAGAAUUAAACAGUACGUGAAAUUGCUGAAAGGGAAACGCUUGAAGUCAGUCGCGUCGAUCAGGACUCAGCAUUUUUAUAAGAACGUGGACGGGAUGCUCACUCUCUAUGCUGCCCUGUUGGAAGGAGACUUGUCCGCCAUGCUUUCAUUGAGACCUUUUCCUCUGACUACAACUCGGAUUUGCAGAGCAACCCAGAUUUUUAAUGUGAGCUCUCUCCCGCUUCACGUGACCGAUACUAGAGGAAUUCAUAUUAGUUUCUCUUCCUAGCUUAAAGACACGCUUAAGUUCAGCGGG